CGGCUACCACUUCCAAGGAAGGCAGCAGGCGCGCAACUUACCCUAAUCUCGAUUCGAGGAGGUAGUGACAAGAAAUACCGAUGCGGGACCCUACGGGUGCCGCGUUCGGAAUGAGUACGAUUCGAACCACCUAACGAGGAACGAUCGGAGGGCAAGUCUGGUGCCAGCAGCCGCGGUAAUUCCAGCUCCAAUAGCGUACGUUAAAGUUGCUGCAGUUAAAAAGCUCGUAGUUGAACGUUCGGGUUCCGCGGGACGGGGCCGCCCCGCGAGGGACGGCGCCGCCCCGGGGCUCGUGAUAUCUCAUCUCGCCGCCCGUCGCGAGGCGGACGGAGGGAUGGAUGAGGUUACCUGGAAAAAAUCGGGGCGAUCUAGGCGGGCGAACCUCGCCAACGAACGAUCGGACAUGGGAUAACGGAAGAGGGCGUCGGCUCGACUUCGUCGGUUCCUCGGGCCGAGGCACGUACGGUGAAUAG
rnacentral:rRNA from 1 species